rnacentral:rRNA from 1 species
ACCAGACUCCUACGGGAGGCAGCAGUGGGGAAUAUUGGGCAAUGGGCGCAAGCCUGACCCAGCAAUGCCGCGUGAAGGAAGAAGGCUUUCGGGUUGUAAACUUCUUUGACAGGGGAAGAGCGGAAGACGGUACCCUGAAAACAAGCCACGGCUAACUACGUGCCAGCAGCCGCGGUAAUACGUAGGGGGCAAGCGUUAUCCGGAUUUACUGGGUGUAAAGGGGGCGCAGACGGCGAUGCAAGCCAGGAGUGAAAGCCCGGGGCCCAACCCCGGGACUGCUCUUGGAACUGCGUGGCUGGAGUGCAGGAGGGGCAGGCGGAAUUCCUGGUGUAGCGGUGAAAUGCGUAGAUAUCAGGAGGAACACCGGUGGCGAAGGCGGCCUGCUGGACUGCAACUGACGUUGAGGCCCGAAAGCGUGGGGAGCAAACAGGAUUAGAUACCCUGGUAUAC